rnacentral:rRNA from 1 species
GAUGAACGCUAGCGGCAGGCUUAACACAUGCAAGUCGAGGGGCAGCAUAAUGAAGUAGCAAUACGGAAUUGAUGGCGACCGGCGCACGGGUGCGUAACGCGUAUGUAACCUACCUCUAACAGGGGGAUAACACUGAGAAAUUGGUACUAAUACCCCAUAACACUUGAUAGGCAUCCUAUUGAGUUGAAAGUUCCGGCGGUUAGAGAUGGACAUGCGUUGUAUUAGCUAGAUGGUGAGGUAACGGCUCACCAUGGCGACGAUACAUAGGGGGACUGAGAGGUUAACCCCCCACACUGGUACUGAGACACGGACCAGACUCCUACGGGAGGCAGCAGUGAGGAAUAUUGGGUCAAUGGUCGGAAGACUGAACCAGCCAAGUAGCGUGAAGGAUGAAGGUUCUAUGGAUUGUAAACUUCUUUU